GAAAAUUCGUUGGCUUCAUAGACCGUGAGGGUUCAAGUCCCUCUACCCC
rnacentral:tRNA from 1 species